GACGAACGCUGGCGGCGUGCUUAACACAUGCAAGUCGAACGGUAAGGCCCUUCGGGGUACACGAGUGGCGAACGGGUGAGUAACACGUGGGUGAUCUGCCCUGCACUUCGGGAUAAGCCUGGGAAACUGGGUCUAAUACCGGAUAGGACUCCUGGCUUCAUGGUUGGGGGUGGAAAGCUUUUGCGGGGUGGGAUGGGCCCGCGGCCUAUCAGCUUGUUGGUGGGGUAAUGGCCUACCAAGGCGACGACGGGUAGCCGGCCUGAGAGGGUGACCGGUCACACUGGGACUGAGAUACGGCCCAGACUCCUACGGGAGGCAGCAGUGGGGAAUAUUGCACAAUGGGCGCAAGCCUGAUGCAGCGACGCCGCGUGAGGGAUGACGGCCUUCGGGUUGUAAACCUCAUUCAGCUAUGACGAAGCGCAAGUGACGGUAGUAGCAGAAGAAGGACCGGCCAACUACGUGCCAGCAGCCGCAGUAA
rnacentral:rRNA from 1 species